UACAGAGGUGCCGAGCGUCAGGCGGAAUCACUGGGCUUAAAGCGUGUGUAGGCGGGGCGUUAAGUGCUUUGUGAAAUCCCACGGCUCACCCGUGGAACUGCUUAACAUACUAGCGCUCUUGAGCCACUUAGGGGCAACUAGAACAAACGGUGGAGCGGUGAAAUGCGUAGAUAUCGUUUGGAACGCCAAUGGUGAAAACAGGUUGCUGGGAGUGUGCUGACGCUGAGACACGAAAGCCAGGGGAGCGAACGGG
rnacentral:rRNA from 1 species